rnacentral:lncRNA from 1 species
ACCUUAUAUUAAAGUGCGUAAUAUGCACUAAAGUCUAAUAAAAAAGAAAAAAUUAUAAGAUCAAAUUUGAGCAAUUCGACAUACCUUUCAAAAGUGUAUCAAUAUUUUUUUAAGUUCUCUAGGUAUGUACCUCUAAACUUUUUGAGAUCCCUUAGUUACCAAUAUAUUGACUAAUAUUAUUGCGAUGUUGUUGUUGGGACAUCG